UGGUAAUUAUAGAAUAUAAGUUAUUGAUAUAUUAUAUAUAAUAUAAUUUAAGGUAGUGUAAAAAUAAUUGAACAAACAAUAAAAUUGAUUAAAUGUUUUAGUAAUAGAAAAGUUUGAAUAAAUAUAAAAAUUUUAUAGAUAAUAAGUAAUUUAAAUGAAAAAUUUAAUUAAAUAUAGAAAAGAAAAUUUAAUUAAUUGUAUCUUGUGUAUCAGAGUUUAUUAAUUAUAGAUUUAUUUAAUAAUAAAAAUCUCGAAAAAUAAAGAGUUAAUUAAUUUAAUGUAUAAAGUUAAUGUAAAAAAAUUAUUUUAAAUAAUUAAUUAGAAAUGAAAAGUUAUAUCGUUUUAUUUUAUAUCUAGUUAGUCAAGAAAUAAAUUUAAUUUAGACUUAAUUUAUAAUUAUAUAUAUAUAUAUAAUAUAUAUAUAUAUAUAUAUAUGUUAAACAGUAAGAAAAAAUGAUAAGAAGAAAAUUUAUUGUUGGAUUUUAAGUUAAUUUAUAUAGGGAUAAUCUUGUAUAAAAAUUUUUAAAUAAUGAAUAAUUUAUUGUUUUUAUAAUAUAAUAAUAUAAAAAUUUUAUAUUUAUUAAAGUUUGUAAUUAAUUAAUUAAAGAUCUACAAAAUAAAAAUUAUUUUAAAUUUAAUUUUAAUAUUAAAAAUUUAUUGAGUCAUCAUUAUAAAUUUAAAUGAUAAUGAGAAAUAAUGAUAGAAUUAGUAUAAUAAUUAUUAAAGAAAUAUAUUGAUAAGUAAAAUUAAUUUUAAUUAAUUAGGCAAAUAUAUAUAUAUAUAUAUAUAUAUAUAUAAAUACCCACCUGUUUAACAAAAACAUGUCUUCUUGAAUAGAUUUAUUAGAAGUCUAAUCUGCCCACUGAAUUUUAGUUUAAAGGGCUGCAGUAAUUUGACUGUGCUAAGGUAGCAUAAUAAAUAGUUUUUUGAUUGGAAACUGGAAUGAAUGAUUGAAUGAGGUAUUAACUAUGUAAAAAUUAAAAUUAUUAGAAUUUUUUUUUUCUAUUAAAAAAUAGAAAUGUUGUAAAAAGACGAGAAGACCCUAUAGAUCUUUAUUUUGGUUAAGUUAAAUUUUAUUAAGUUUAAAAAUAAAUUGAUAAAAAAUUUAAAUUAAUGAGAAAAUUUAGUUGGGGUGAUUAAAAAAUUAAAAAUUAACUUUUUUAUAUAUGUAUAAAUAUAUAUUAUUAGAGUAAAUAUGAAUAAAUAAAUUUCUGAUCCUGUAGAUGAACAUAUAGAAUAUUAGAUUAAGUUACCUUAGGGAUAACAGCGUAAUUUUAAUUUUAAGAUCAUAUUGAAAUUAAAGAUUGCGACCUCGAUGUUGGAUUAAAAUUAAUAAUUAUUGAAGAAAAUAAUUUAUUUAGUCUGUUCGACUAUUAAAAUUUUACAUGAUCUGAGUUCAAACCGGUGUGAGCCAGGUUGGUUUCUAUCUUUUAUAAAUUAAAUUAAUUUAGUACGAA
rnacentral:rRNA from 1 species